GGAGAGAUGUCCGAGCGGCUUAAGGAGCACGCCUGGAAAGCGUGUAAACUGAAAGGUUUCGCGGGUUCAAAUCCCGCUCUCUCCGCCA
rnacentral:tRNA from 1 species